rnacentral:lncRNA from 1 species
CAGACCAAGCAAUUAGCAAUUUUACAAUUUGAAUCUCGUGAUUGAAAAAACAUUCAUGCAUAUUAUGAGAUACAAAUCACACUUCGGAGUGAAAGGAAAAAAAGGCAAUCAUCAAUACAUACAUUGAGAAUUUAAGAUUGGCGACGCCAUGAACAGACAAUAUACUGGUUCAUUCACAAAAACACUUGUGCAUGUGUGUUCCACACAAAGAAAUAAAUGAAUGAGAAGUUGAUGGAUGAAUCGGCAAUAGGGAAUGCAAUCCAGAAGUGGGCAUUGAGGAUUUCGGCCAUUUGGGUAAUU